AGCUAGCUGACGAGUCCCAAAUAGGACGAAAUGCGCGUUAUCCUGGAU
rnacentral:hammerhead_ribozyme from 1 species